rnacentral:lncRNA from 1 species
CACGUGCAUCUUAUUCUACCAAAUCAAAUACAACAUUUGGUUUAACCAUCAUAUCAUCGUCCAUCACCCAAAUCAUACAUAGUUACUAAUAUAAUCUCUUUCUCAGGACAUAGGUCGAUAAAGCCUUUGGAAUUAACAAAACGAUUUUUUUUAACUAUGAUAUUAAUACACACAAAAGUAAAUAUUAUUUUUUAACAUAAUUUCUGGUAUAAUAAAAAACACAGAUAAAUACUAACAAUUAAUUUCUC